GCUGUAGGCUCGUGUGCGACGAGUCCCGAUCCGCCGCCGUACGGAGAGCUCGCUGCGGGUCCAUCAGUCAGCCGCGCUGAGACGGAGCAAGCGAGUGAGCCGCAGCUUUUUUUGGGCUCAGACACCGCACAUCAGCGGGCUGCACGAGCUGCCACAUCUGACCACUGGGUGAUUUUUUUUCGUACACUCAGCACCUGCUGGGACAGAUGAGAGAAUAAAAAGGACAUUUUGUACUCCACGGAUUUUCCCACAUAUUCUGUUCUUUUCCCUUUGCUUCUUCUUAUUGAUUGGGAGCCUCUCUGCAAUCCCCUGCAGCUUAAAUCUUCAAAUACAGUGGAUCGUGUCAUAAAGAAGACAUGGUCAUCUUUGUAGUUUUUUUUUCCUCUUCCUUCUUUUCUGUCUCAUUUUAAAAACUGAAGAAGACGAAUGGAAGAGGAGCAACAUUUAACGUGGAAAGGAUGGGAAUGGGGAACCGAGGAAGGAAUAACCACUCCAACUGGCGAAUCUUCGUUUCGUGAAGGAGACUUCCAGAUUGGACCCAAAUAAAGCAAGUCGAUCACUAGACAGAAGAGAAGAAUGCCGGCUGCCAAAGAAAAGAUCUCUGCGUUGCCCUCCUUCUCCCGCAGCUUAGCACGCGACGAAAUGCACACCGGCGCGUGAGGUGGGAGGCAGCCCCUCGGCAUCUGUCUGGGGGCUCCAAGCUGGGGAGCACCUGCGCUUGUCACCACCCCCACCUCUCAGGGGCUAUUGAAGGAGCCAUAAUUGUGAAGCCUGUUAGCUGCUGAACGACUGCUGUGUUACAACGAACGCACUGAACUCCCCUGCUACAAAACAAAAGGAUGAGAGACGACAGGCCAUUCUCGGCAAAGGGUAAACAAAGCCAUUGGCACUAGAGAAGCGAUCAGGCUGUGUGCUGCUGGAAUCCAAAUGAUUGUCUUUCAAUAUACCGCAGAUCGUUCCAUUUUUGAGAUAUGAAUCCUCCAUCAGCAGGAUCCCUUGGGAGCACUGGAAGGACUUAAACAGUGAGAGUUGGACACACGAGCUGACACUGGACACCAUCACCUGAUCGCUGCACCAUGCCAAGAACCAGGAAAGUGAAAGCAAGACAGUGUGCUGCAUCCCCAUAUCCAGUGGGCACAGUGCCCGUCACUUUCUUGUUUCUUGGGAGUUUGCUUUGAGACUUGAGGUGACAUCUCAGA